CCUCUCAUGUAUAAAUAGGAGCAAACCAGAGGUCAGAUAGCAUCCAGAACGAAGAUAUCUUCCUGCCUCCACUUCCUGUUCCUCUAGGCAGCCUGGGAGAGUGAGCGAGCAAGCAAGAAAUUGGUAACAAUCGAUCUAAGUGACAACCAGAUUCAGAUCCUCGAGAGGACUUUCAAGGUGUGCCCCAACCCUGAUGAGACCCAGCGCGCCCAUCACGGCCGCGAACUUGGCGUGCAGCCCCAGCAGAUCAAAUUCUGGUUCAAGAACCGCCGUGCCCAGAUGAGGAGGUGUUUGGGGUUGACGGCAUGGCAGGCUUGGGACGAGCAGGUUGACAACCACUUAUCCGACUCAGAGAAUGACGAGAUUCACUAAGUCAACUUCGCCAUGUGGGUUUGUGGAUUGAGGGCUGAUCCAUUGAUGUAAACUAAGUGAAUGCCCUAGGUUUUUUCCCUUCAGUCUGUUUGUUCCAAAUAACGUGUCAUAGACCUGCCUGCGUGCAGAUGGUACGCACUGAGAGUCGGUCUCGACGGCAAGCAUGUUUGCGUCGAGUCCAUGCAUCGAGUCCAUGUGUCAGGUUGGGGUCGCUCCCGUUUCUACCGCGUCGUGAACCGAGUCAUGGGAUGGCAUGGCACAUCGGAUCACAGGCGAUAAUAGUGGAGCUGUAGAUCCUGGACCCAGGAUCUGAUUCGUGGGAUGGCACGAGUCAUUAGGAAGGUGGUUUGUGUUUAGGUCGGUCGUGCAACGACCGUUCUUUCUCUCUGUAUUCCAAAAAAAAAAAUCUGUAGCAAGUAUUCAUGGCAUCAAA